rnacentral:rRNA from 1 species
UACGUAGGGGGCAAGCGUUGUCCGGAUUUAUUGGGCGUAAAGAGCUCGUAGGUGGUUCGGUAAGUCGGAUGUGAAAUCUCCAGGCUCAACCUGGAGGGGUCAUUCGAUACUGCCGUGACUAGAGGUCGGUAGGGGAGUGUGGAAUUCCUGGUGGAGCGGUGAAAUGCGCAGAUAUCAGGAGGAACACCCGUAGCGAAGGCGGCACUCUGGGCCGAAACUGACGCUGAGGAGCGAAAGCGUGGGGAGCAAACGGG